GAUGUACAGUAUCACCCGGCGAUGUAGUGUUGUUAAGGUUUUUCAUGGAUUCUCGCUUGCUUACGGGUUUCCUAUUGGCUGCAAGAGAAUGGCACGACGGAAGCGGAUCAUAAACACCGAUUUAGAGAGAAAACAGGUCAUGGACGGGACUUUGGAUCUGAUCCCUAAGCACUGGGUAGCCGAGUUAUGUAACCAGUGCGAUCUGAUUGAUGUACGAGGGCAAAAACUCUGUGGCAGAGUCCUCUCUCUCGUUUGCAGCCUUAAUUCGUUACUUCUCCAGCUUUUCAAAAAUGCAGGAGACGUCUAGAAAUGGCUGUUGAGCAUUUUCAAACCUAUGUGCUAAGAGUCAGAAUGCUGUGGAGACACCAAGGCAACUCGAGUGCCCCACCCACAAAGCUCAGAAUGCUGCCUGUUUAGAGUUCUGAUGCCUGCCAUUGGAUGCGGGCACAUCAAAGGGGUGGGACUGGAGCAUCACACCAUUGAGGUCUGCUUGGAAAGGGGGAGGGACUUGAUAAAAAUCACCACCGCCGGUUACUGAGAGAUCUGCUGUCAAAGUAGUGGCUUUAAAAAAGCUGUUUUUUUAAACAAAAUUAGCCCUAUACUACCAAUGUGUAUCAGGAGCAGGAGUACUGUGAAUUGUCAGGUUUGUUAGUAUAGUGAUUCCAUAUUCUGAUCCUAAGUAGGAUUGUAAAUAACCCUUAUUUAAAAAGACAACAGCUAAUUGCACUUUUAUCUAAUUUUGUGUAAUCGCUAAGUGCAUGCCGAAAUUUAAAAUGUAGACAAAGUGGGACAGUGGACCCUUAUAAUGUUUAAUGUAUAUUUCAGUUAUUUCUUUGCUUGCUGCACAUGUUGUGUUAUAUGCAAUAUUAGUCAGAACUCAGUGUUUGACUUCUCUUAUUUGUCACCUUUCUUGCAGGUAUAUUUAUACAUACUGUUUGUUUUAAAGUCUUUUCAACCCACUGAGACAAGUCACUGGUCUGAAGGCAGUAAGUAAAAUGUAAUAAAACCUGCAGUAAAAUCUCGAAAAACCAAUAGAGUGGAAUUCUUUUCCUCUCAGUCAUAUUGUCUAUGAUGUCUUGAGGGUGGAGGGAUGUUAGGGUGAUCAGAUACAGGAUGUUCCCUUCCACAACCUGGGAUUACAGCAGGACGCAUGAGGGAUGUUUUAACAUGGUUAAAAAAACCCAUUUAAAAAUUGCACAAGAGGGGUGUUUUUCACCUGAGAGUUAGGAGGAGUGGAAUUGCUGUGGCCAAAUCUAGACUCACAUGUUUUGAUAUCAUACUGUACCCAGCACUGUCAUAAUGCAGCUGGACAUGCAAGGAAAUCAUAUCCUUCUCAAUGACAUGCUGGUGAAAUGUCUCAUUUCACUUUCUGCUGUCUAGGCUAAAUGGCCUGUUUGCCACCUUUUUCUUGUUUCUUAUACAAAUAGCAGUGAAAUGAGGAUAAUAUAUGGCCGAAGCCUGUGGGUCAGUGGCCCUCCAGAGCUGUUGAUAUAUACUGUACCAUGUGAUUCUGUGUUAGUAUAAUGCUGCAAAACUUCCUAUGGUGGUUUGUGUGGUGUUGGCUUGUUAUCUAAGAUAAGAGGAGCAGAAAUGAGCUUAUCUUUGACAAGUGUUUUCAAGGCAUAUGAAUGACAGAUAAGUCGAACACACCCAGAACACAAACCCUAUGUUAGAAAUCCAUUUUCACUUAUAAAGCACCUUUUGGUGCAUUGAUCCCCACCUGCCUUUCAAUAAUGCCGAAAGAGGUAGAGUUUUGCUUAACGGGGGAAAAAAAAGACGCUUGUGAAAGGUUGGACUGUGCAUAAAAGAUCAUUAAGCAAAGAGGAUGAGCAAAUCUUUCUCUUGCAUUGAUUUAUUCAUGGGAAUUUCAAGUUCCAUUUUCUUCCAUUCAUUUUUUUUUCAAUCCCCUUCUCCCAGUUCAGGGUCCCAAGGGAGCUGAAGUCUGUCCCAGCAGGAUACACCCUGGACAAUCCAUCACAGGGCAGACAAACACAAAAAACAAACACACCCACUCACACCUGGGCUAAUUGUUCCAGAAGCCAGUUAACCUCCCAGUAGGUCUGUGAACUGUGGGAGGAAACCCACACACACUCAGGGAGAACAAACAAACUCCACACAGACAGCAUCCCAGGUCAUGGAUUGAACCCAGGGCCCCAGUGCUAACCACUGCACCACCCUGCUACUCCAGAUGCUUUUCACACAGUUAAAUGAUAAGAAAAUGUGAUCAGAAACAUUUAUGUGUUCACAGAAAGGUGUGUGACCUUUUCCCUUGGCCUCACAGCUGUGAUAAAAGUCAUAUAACAAAGGAUGGACUACCUGAACUUCUGAGAAAAACAAAUCUUGCCACUUUAUCAUUAACUGUGAUAACUUGAGAGCUUUCACAACUAAAAUCCUGCAGAAAAUGAGUCUUUGUAAAACUGUAGAAAAGAGCCAUCGAAGACGUUUCCUUAGAGAUGGAAAAAACAGGUUACCAUCCAGGAGGACAGAUUCCACGCUGUGCACCCCCCCCCAGCAACACAACUACUGGGACACUAUUUUUAAUAAUAUACAUUCUAUAGAAAAAAACAAACUCCCUGUUUGACCAUUAGGCCUACCACUAAAACCAGAUUUCACUUUAGAAUGCACUUACUUUUUCAUUGCCGAAAUUGAAAUAAUGCACAUGGCCAGUUUUGUCUAAAUGUCCGAUAUCCUCUCAGACAUUCAAUUCUUUUAGCCUGUCUAGGAAUACAGUACAUAAAGCACAUUAAUCAAGACUUCAUCAAUAGCCAUAGUGAUACAGGAAAAUAAAGAAGGCUUGUGCCCACCUGUAUCAUACCAACUAGACAAUCCCCUUUCCAGAGUGUUUAAUGCCUUGUUUUGUGUCCUUGAUCGUACAGUGGUAUCGGUGUUAUAGCUGUGUUCUGUACGCUUGCUGACUCCCCUUGUCAAACUAUAGUAAUCAAAACAAGGACACUGGAGUAGCAUCGCAGCUUGCGUCUCUGUGGAACUAAAUAGAUAGUCUUCUUGUCUGAUGGAGUUCUGGAAUUCAGAUGACUUGAGACAGGGGUUCCCAAUUCUGUUUCUGAGGACUUGGUUCCAACUGAGCACUAGGUUACAUAUUGGACCCCUUGACUGACUGAUCACAGGAGUCGUUGGGGGUCUUUGGCCAUUUUCAGUUUGUGAACAUGCUGGAGGCAGCCCUACGAUGACGACAUUUCCGAAGUAACUUAAACUCUCCAUAUGUUGAGGAACAAAGAGCAAAGUGUUUCUUAUUCAGAAAUGUGUUAGUUCAGUUAAUAAUUUGCUUAAGUAGAGCUGUCUCAGCUGCAACUCCAACCAGCAGGUAUGCUGGCCCCCAGCACCAGGGCUAUCCAGAAGUCCUGGAUUGGGAUGUGUGUGCAAGCUGUGGAUCUAUACAGAAGCCCAGAAGGCUGAAAUUAAUUGAUUAUGUGGACUACUAAGGCAGGCCUUACAGAUGAUGUGCUUUCCUAUAACCUUCAUUAUUUUGUAAAAGAAGCUUUCUGGACUUGGUAAACUCAGUUAUUUCAGACAUCAACAUGGGUUCUUACAACGCCUGAUGUGAGGACUAAAUGGAUUCAAUUGAGAGCCACUAUGAGCAUAGAGCGCCAUCUACUGUACAAUAGCAGAAAUGUUACAUUUUGUAUCAGCUGUGCAGCAGUAAUCUAGAAAACCUGUUUAAUUUAAGUCGAUUGUGGGUACUUCUACUACUUUUUAAAUUAUUUUCUUGUAUAUCUUAAUUUAUUAAGUUAAUCUGGUUUUUAAAAGACUUUUCUGUUUUGCGGUUUUUAAUGAUCCUAGGUUUUCAACUAUAUUAAACGUACAUUUUACGUUUUCACUUUGUCAAAAAUGCCGGUCACGAUCUUCUCUCUCUUAUAUGCUCCCGUUUUAAAGUGAGUCCUUAAUUAGUCAUUAAUUACAGCAGGUAGUAAUCAUGGUGAGGAACCCUUUCCUAGAUCCAUUUUCACCCUCCAUACAGCUUUUAUAAAUUUUAAUAAAGUCAGUGUCCUGUGUGAUCAACUGCAAAAGACCUUUAUGUCUGAUGUAGGAAAUAAUUAGUGUUAUGUUUGAAUGUGAUGUUUGCACAGUAUUGCGCAGUGUUAGAAAGUUUUUUCCACUCGGGUCCUUUUCACAAAUACAUGGAAUUCCUGACUUAAAGCAUAUUGGUUCCAAUAAACUUUAAAAUUCAG
ensembl:lincRNA